ACUGUUAACUAUGUUAAAUUAUAGAUAAUAAUAAUACAAUAAGAAUAAGAUCUAUCAGUUAGUUGUUAAGGUAAUGGCUUAACAAGACAGUGACGGAUAACGGUAUUACUUUGUAAUAUUCCGGAGAAGGAGCCUGAGAGAUUGCUACUAAGUCUAAGGAUUGCAGCAGGGGCGAAACUUGACCUAUGAUAUAUUAUUGAGGCAGUUAUGAGUAGUAUUUUAUAAUUAUUGUAAUAUUGUAAGUAUAUAUUACAAGAUAAAUCGGAGGGCAAAUCGAGUGCCAGCAGCCGCGGUAAUACUUGUUCCGAUAGUGUGUAUGAUGAUUGAUGCAGUUAAAAAGUCUGUAGUUUAAAUAAUAAUAAGCAUUGUAAGGUAUAUUGUAUGGUUAGGAGAGAGAUGAAAUGUGAUAACCCUAACUGGAUGAACAGAAGCGAAAGCUAUAUACUUAAAUGUUUUAUUAGAACAAGGACGUAAGCUAGAGGAUCGAAGAUGAUUAGAUACCAUUGUAGUUCUAGCAGUAAACUAUGUUAAAUCAUAGAUAUAUUUUAAAUAUAUAUUUAUGUAAAGAAAUUAAGAUUAUAUUGACUCUGGGGAUAGUAUGAUCGCAAGAUUGAAAAUUAAAGAAAUUGACGGAAGAAUACCACAAGGAGUGGAUUGUGCGGCUUAAUUUGACUCAACGCGGGGUAAUUUACCAGGUAUAACAUGAUAUAAUAUUUUAUCAUGAUAGUGGUGCAUGGCCGUUUCCAAUGGAUGCUGUGAAGUAAUGAUUAAUUUCAACAAGAUGUGAGACCCUCUAUUAAGACAGAUGUAGUGAUACAUAUGAAGGAGAGGAUUAAAACAGGUCCGUUAUGCCCUAAGAUAAUCUGGGUUGCACGCGCAAUACAAUAAUAUUUAAUAUUAUAAGGGAUAAUAUAAUGUAAGAUAUAUUUGAACAUGGAAUUGCUAGUAAAUUUUAUUUAA
rnacentral:rRNA from 1 species